GAUGGCUUAGACAUUAGAAUAUGUGUCGGCUGCAAGAUUUUAGAUGCAGUAUAUUUAUGUAUCUAGCUAGCUAGCUAUCUUAUGUGUUUAUUAUAUAUAAUUUUAUUAUAUAUCAUUGUUUGGUUUUUUUAUAUGGACCCAAAGGUAUUCACACAGAUAAUAUAAAGGUGCAUUCUUUCUUCUGUUUCUGUCCAUCUCCUUCAUCCUCUUUACUCCGUUCUAAUUCCUGUUGUUUCUUGCUACUGUUUGCUAAAUCUUGCCUUAUUUUAAGAGUAAGUUUGGGGUGGGGAAGAUUAGGGACUGUCUUUCACUGUACAGGACCUAGCACAAAGGGUCCAUAUCCACAAUAGGGCCUCCUGACAUUACUGUAAUGUAAAAGAUAAAUGUUUAAUAAUAAUUCUGAUUAAAUGUGCUAGCAUAUUUUAACUAGUAUAACAUAUUUUGCAGUUGUAAAAUAACUCAUAGCCUAAAAGUGACUUGCAAAAGUGAUGUGUAAAAUUAUAAUUAUGAAGUUAGCACAACAUUUACAACAUACAUUGGAAUUUACAAUUUAUUUCCUCAUAGUAAAGAUUAGUUGUUCUUCUUUAAGAGGGGAAUUGGUCCUGUUAAGCAGCAGACACCAUUCCCAGCAGGCAAAAACCUUUGUAAAGAGAAAAUAAAACUCAGUUUUUACUACUUCUUUCUUUUAACUCUCACAAUCAUGUCUCAUUUUAUGAAGCAGCAGGCCUGGAUUUGCAGUGCAUCAUUUCUCUGCAUGGUCUGCAAUGACAGAUACAAGCUGAUAUCUGUGCAAGCAAAGCUUUUUCUCCAGUAACAUGCCUAAUGGUUGGAUUCAGUCUAGACCAGACUAGAUGGGUCAUAAAACACUUUAAACUCCAUUCAAAGGAUGCUAAACUACUGAAGUUGUAUUUUUGUUUAUUAUUAUAAGCUAGAUCUCUGUUGGAUUAAAAAAAAAAAGUUGCACUACUGAGGAAAUCAAGAUGAGAAAAGUUACUCUCAAGUUCCGCCAAUGUAACAGCGCAUACAUGCUAACAUGUGGUAAAUAUCUAUGUACCUGCUAGCAUGCUGCAUGCAAUUUUCAUGUAGCUAUUUGUCCUUAACUGAAAAUCAUUGAAAAUUGAGAUCAUAGAGCCCAAAGGGACUGUAAAUUGUCACCCAGUAGAUAUUUAAAGAUUUCUAUGCAAUGUUCUGUUUCAUUCUAUUUUUCUUUGUAUCCCUCCCAUAAAACUGCCAUCCUCACAAUUAGCGCUAACAGAAAGCCGUGUUGAUAGUUACAACAAAUGGUAAACAAGGAUUCAAUAAACAUGAAGCAGAACAAUCUUCACACAUCUAUUCAUGUUUCCUCAUCUAAAAUGAACUAGAACCUUUUUCAGGGCUUGGCUAUGUUCAGAUAAGCAAACUGUCUUCCUGUUUUGUCAAGGACAUUCAGGGUUGAAUUAUGGGAUGAGGGUCUCAUGUCUCAGACUGUAAAAUCCCUUUUUUACACUCCACAGUGCAUCUAACAGGGAGGAACCAGCCUGAAUAGAACUGUUUCAGAGACGGAGGAAAUGUAUCAGAAGAUCUACCACCUUUACCAAGCACCAUUAUUUUUCAACAAACAAAAAGAAAAACCUAUCUCCAAAUUCAACCACUCCAUAGAGGAACAGCACUGAAGGAAAGAGAAGACCUUAAUCAAAAGUUCUAUACUCCUGCCCUUCCCAGAAUGCUUGGAGAUUCACAGGAAUGUCCUCCUUCCUCCAGGCUUCCAGGUGACCAAGCUUGCUCUGUGGUCUGUUGUCCUAUUCAAUGUUAAGCAGCUGAAAAGAGGAGUAGGAAAAGCCAAACCAAUGCUGGGUCAACUGAUGGAAGCUACCUCUGAUGCUCACUCUUGCUGAAACGUCCAAGGAAAAGCAAGGAGGCAAGGUGGUUGUGCAGCAACUGCUCUUUUGGUUGUGAAGAGGUCAAGCCAUUUCCAGUGGUUGCUCCAGAAGCUGUUAGCCUCUUGUGAGUGUGUUGGGGUCAAUAGAGACCCUUUAAAUGAAACAAGAGGGUAGGCCUAUUCCAUAUAAGGCCUGAUUCCUUUCCUAUUUUCAGAGAGUUCCAAUCUGGACACAGUUAAUAAGAAAGCCCUUUCUAUGAAGAGAAAGCCCUUUGCUGUAGGAUAUGUAUACCUGAUCUAUAAGAGAUUUUUUCUUCCUUUCUUUUCCAUUUGUGAUACUAUUCAUAUGGUUCCAAAGUGUACUGUAGCUUGUUAACCUGCAGAACAUGUUACAACUCAACAUGCUUUGGCAUAAUCUAAGGUCAUGUUUACAUUAGGUAGGUUACACCAUGAAAUGCAGAGCUCACCAUUUAUAGCAAAGUGCAACUAUGAAUUAAAUAGCCAAAUAGGGAUGACAGCUACAAACCAGAAGAUGAGUACAUAAGCUACUAAUAUAUACUAAAUUGGUUUAUUUUGUAACUAGAAACGUAUGUGAUUCUUUCUAUUUAAUCUGUCUUGAUUUGGUGUCAUAUGUUGUUGCUUGGUUAUUUACAUCUAGCACAGAAUAAUUUCAAAUCCCAUGUUUCUUAUCUUUACAGGGGCUUUUUGACUUCAUGUAUUUCGAGAGAAGAUGCUCUGACUCAGAGUAUACUCUUCCUCUUUCACUUCACACCUCUAGUUUACCAAACAAUGUCAUAAUCUCUUGUGACAUCAUACAUUAUCAUUCCUUUACAGCAACAGAGUUAGAUCCCAUAAACAAGAAUCAUUAAGACUACUGACCAAACAAGCAGGGGGUGUUAUUAAAGAAGGCUUCUACUUGCAUGUGUUUAUCAUUUAUUGGUUUUCAUUGUGAGUGCUAGCACUAGACCUACAUACCAGGCUGCUGACUUGCCCUCUUUCUGCAUCACACAGUACUCCAACACAGAGCUGGGUUUUAAAUAAGUAUUUAAAGAAGAGUUCAUAAGAAGAAGAAAUAUGACUGUUAAUCCCAUUCAUGUAAUUAGGAGGCAGACCUCCUAACUGGAACCAUAUAACUAUUUUUAUCUCUGCCCUGAAAAUGAUAGUAGCAGAAGUGACAAAUAUUACGAAUCCUGAUAAACUAUUUGUUUCUCUUAUAGUAGCAACUGCAGGCUUCAGUCCAAGUUAGGACUGUGUACUAAGGCUAGAGUUCUGACUGCUGUAGUCUGAGUAGAAGCCUGUGGGCCAUUUGCAGUCUCCAGGCUCCCGGUCCAGGGGCUGCUCCUUCCAUUCUCUUGCUGUUGCUGCCAGUCUUUGGGCUCCCCCUCCACCUUCUCCUGCCUGCCCUCACCCCUGGGGACAUCCCAUGGAGCUGAGGGAGCCCACACAGCUGAGGAAUCCAGGGAACUCGGAGACCCUGUGUGGGGUGGAAUCCAUGUAGCAUGGCAGGAGAGGCCUGUGAUACAUGAUGGAGUCCAGGGGUGCCAAUGUAGCUUGUAGCCAUGUGGGGUGUUGGGGCAAGGCAAUAUGCCACCAUGGAUACUCAGAACUUGACCAGACCUGUUGUAGAUGAAGGACAAAUGCAGCUGGCAGUUAUCUGAAUCUUCGUAGAGAGCCGUUCAUCAGAAAGGCAUUCAAAUACCCAAAUACAUUCAGAUUUUGUUUGAGGUCAUCUGUUGACACAGCUUCUGAUUGGUUUAUCAUAAUAGAUUCUCUUGGGUGUUGACCAAGCUACUUGUUGCAUGUAUUGUAUUUGUGUAUAAUGUGCUACGCAAGCACCAGUUUGCUCAUUGUGGCUAGUAGCUAGAAUGUAUGUAGAAAUAUCAAAUCAUUAUGGUAAUGACUAUUUUGCUGUAUGCGAGGAUGUACUGUAGAACAAGUGAAUCUUAACUCUGCUUACCUGGAAAUUAAUUCCUUACUGGGUUUUAUUUGAGAUACUAUUGACCUAGGACUAGUGACCUAGGACUUACAUGAUAACUGGAGGAACUGAUAGCUUUUGAACACUUCUUGAUUGUCUUUAUUAUAUAGAACUGACUGUUUUUAGUCCUCAUGGUCCUUGGUCCUAUGGGGAAAGAAGAGUAGCACUGGCAUGUCUAUGUAUUAAUAGAAGGCAGGUUAGAUUUGCACCUUAUGGACUAGCCAAAUGCAGAGUUCACAGCAUCUGAUGAAGUGAGCCACAGCUCACAAAAGUUUGUGCUAUACACACACACACAAUCUCUACCUUGGUUAAUCUAUAAGGUGAAAAUCUACCCUGCCUUCUAGUUGACUUCAGACUAACACAGCUACCUAUGUGUCGCGGCACACCUCGCUGCCCCGCUCCCAGAGAGGGGAAAACUGGCAGGGGAGAAGCUCUGGUAGUGCAUAAGGAGCCCUAGUGGUGAUUAGGGUGUACAGGUGUGGGUUGCCAGGGCAACUAAUGUGAAUCAGCUGCCUGUAGGAGGCAGGGUGGAAGCUAGGCUGGCAGUUUCCUGCUAGCAGUCAGAGGGGCAGGAGUUCACGGAGCUAGGAUACGAGUAUCGCUGGAGCAGACUGAAGGGAAGUGGCUCUGGAGACUGCAAUGAUGUUGUUACAGCCAGGAGGCCUCAAGUUAAGUUAUAGCCUGGAAGCUUGUGUUUUGUGUUGUUAAUGUUUGUAUUACACUGGUGGUUUGGGUGAGGCUAUUAGGGGUUGGAGGAGGCCUCAUUGGGGACUCUCAAGAGAGUGUGAGGACCCCAGCACCAGUAAGGGCACAAUUUACGGGGUGCGUAGACCCCAGCCCCAGAGAGGGGCGUUUUGAGAAGCCCCAGCACGGGCACAAUGAGCCCCAGGAGGGGGCACUACUAGGAAGCCUGAGCGUGGGCGUGGCGAGCCCCAGGAAGGGGAGAGAGCAUUUCAGAGAAGCCCAGUGUGGGCACAGCCAACCCCAGAGAAGGGGCGGCCCUAUUAGGGAGCCUAGCGUGGGCACAGCCAGCCCCAGAGAGGGGGUGGCAUUAUUACUGGGGAGCCUGGUGCGGGCGUGUAGAGUCCCAGAAAAAGGGGGGACUAUUGAGAAGCCCCAGUGUGGGCACGGCGAGCCCCGAAGAGGGGGAGCACCUUAUUGAGGAGCCCGAGACGGGCGUAGCGCGCCCGGUUGAAGGCUAGCACAGCGGUAGACCUCAGACGGGUAAGGUGCUGCGGUGGGCCACGACGAAAGGGGUUAGCAGUACGGCACCCCAGGAGCAGGGCAAGGUGCUGCGGUGGUCCCUGGCUAAAAGGGAUAGCAGUGCGGUGAGCCCGCAUAAGAGAGGGUAGCAGUGCGGUGGGCCUAGAGGACCGGAGACUUGGGAGCAAGUCCCGGAGCAGGCUAGGUUAUUUUAGAGAAGAUCCCCAGAGAAGGGGGGCAACAUUGCAGGAAGGCCCCAAGUGGGCUCGGAGAGCUCAGGAGGGGGCAGUACAACAGAGAAGGCCCGGGAGAGUGGGCAAGUUGAUUUUGACAGACCAACGUCCAGUACAUCUGCAAGGCUUGGGGCAUGGCAUUAGGGGUUGGUAGGAGCCAUGCAUAGCCCAUAAGGCUAGGGUGCCUGGAACGCACCCAGUGUACCGGGAGACUCCUGGUGGGGUCCGGGAGAACACGGGGACGGAAGUCCCAGCUAACCGUGCCGAGGAGACGUAAGGCAGCCUCCCAACAUAUAUACUGAACAUAGAAGACAUGGCGGGCGAGAAUAGAGGGUGCCUUUGGGCCGAACUGGCAUGGAGAGAGGGCCUUAAGGAGAUCGUGGCCCUCCUGCAGGACCCCGCUGUGACAUUGUCUAUUAACUGGAUAAUCAUCAAAGACUACCAAUACCUGUACAGCUUUUAGAGGGGCAUGAGGGAGGAGGGGAUAAAAGAAAAAGAAUAAAAGUGCAUCAUAGAUAAAACGUCUCUCCCUGCUAAGUAAUAGGAUCUGCAGUAAUGAACAAAGAGAUCACAUGUCAGAGCAAGGUCUUAAAAACUUGAAGGGGCUCACUAAGACGAAGGAAACCUGGGUAGGAGAGAAGAAGAGAGGGACAUGGUUUCAUAAUAAUGGACUCCUUUUCAACUUCACCAGUUGGGGAAGAAGGAGGCUGACUACAAAAAAGAAACUCCAGGAUUCAGGGGAGACUGUUAUGCAGGAGGGAAGUCCUUGAAGUACUCUGAUCUAAGCCCAUAGAACAAUUGAGUGAUUAAGAGACUAAGGACAAGGAAAUGCCUACAAGUUUUGUCAUGGUUUUGUUCAGGACUGCGUAUCUCUUAUGCUCUCUGUAGUAAGAGUGAGCCUUUUGAGUCUUUCAAAACCUGUGAGACUACUAGUUUCUGCUGUCAUGUGUCCCUGGAGAGUUGAACUGUAAAAUGAGAAUGAAAUUCUUGAAACUCAAUAAAAGUUGCUCUUAAACUACUGGGAAGCCUGGAUGUGUUAGUCCAAGUUGGGGGCCCAAGUGAGCUAUAGUGUGAGGUCCCAUUUCUGUAAAGGGUGAAAUGGGCAGGGGAACUCUGCCCAAGAGGUGCAUCGGAGAGGUCAGUGCUGCAUACUAUGAGGACCAAAGGAAGUGUAUAGGACAUGGUCCUAGGGCAUGCAGCCCAAGUGCAGAAGCCUGGUAAUUGUCCAGCAGGGACAGCUUCACCAGGACUGCAACAGCUUUUGUUUUAGUUGCUCUAGUAAAACACUGGAAGGAGAAAAAAAGAAGAGUUGCAGAUUCUAUCUGAAAACCAAGACCAUGUGCAACUGUGGGAUGCUAUUUGACUUCUUUAAGGCCUUGCUGUCAAAAUGAGUACAAAGAUCACUUGGCAGUAGUAGUUGCUUUUUUAGUAGAGUUGCAUUUUGGUUGGCAAAACCUCAAAAAGAAACCCCUUCCGACUCUUUCACUGAUGUAUAUUUUUUUGUAUCUAUUUAUCACUGCCACUAGCAUUUUGUUUAGUCUUCAAGGAAAGGUUGUCAUUCCAAUGUCGGAUGCUUUUACAUCUACAUCCAUCAUUGCCUGAUGUAUCUCUGACCUUAGUUAAAACUUAUGUUUUCUAAAUUGUACUUUUAUGUUUAGCAAGCCCUUGGGCUACAUUGUUAAAGUUUACAUUGAAAAAUCAUUUAUAAUUGGUUUGUUUGAAUUAUGCUUUCUGCAAAGCCAUCAAGAAGGGCAGUAUUAAUUAACAGUGGCUUACAUAAAGUCUAGACAAUAAAAAAAAAAAGUAAAUCAUUUUAGCUUUUUUAAAAAGCUUUUAGUAUUUUACCAGUUAUAACAAAUAAUACUGAUAUAAAUUACAUCUAAGAGAGAAUGCACUGAAUGAUCUACAAAAAGCUGUCCAUUUGAACCAUUUAUUUUUCCUGGAAAUAUUUUCAUGAUAGACACAUGUUGUACAAACAAAAAUAUGUUUAUUGUGAAACAGAGAGCCAACAAAAAUGUUAAUGAAUUCCAUUUGUUGUGUACUCACUUGGUUGGAUGAUUAAAUCGAUUUUUAGGUAAUACAUAAUGUCCUAAGUAACAUUACAAAAGACUUGUUUUUUAUUUUAAGGUAUAUAAUGAUGAUGAUUACACAGCAGAUUUAUAUAUGAUGGACAACAGAGAAUAUGAGGAGUCUUUCCAAGGUUGUAUGCACACUGUCCUCAAUUAAGUGCAUAGUUCCACUAAAGUUAAUGGAAUUACUUGUAUGAGUAAGGCACAGAGACUGAGCCCUUAUUUCUUUAUUUCUUCAGUAACUGGUUGACAAUAGGGUUGCAAAGAGGUAUUAAAGUUGCAUUAAUGAGUCAUUACAGCUACUUAAUAUUCAUUAACAAUAUAGCUGUGAAGAAGCAAAA